AUUGAACGCUGGCGGCAGGCUUAACACAUGCAAGUCGAGCGGAAACGAUGGGAGCUUGCUCCCAGGCGUCGAGCGGCGGACGGGUGAGUAACACUUAGGAAUCUACCUAGUAGUGGGGGAUAGCUCGGGGAAACUCGAAUUAAUACCGCAUACGACCUACGGGAGAAAGGGGGCAACUUGUUGCUCUCGCUAUUAGAUGAGCCUAAGUCGGAUUAGCUAGAUGGUGGGGUAAAGGCCUACCAUGGCGACGAUCUGUAGCUGGUCUGAGAGGAUGAUCAGCCACACCGGGACUGAGACACGGCCCGGACUCCUACGGGAGGCAGCAGUGGGGAAUAUUGGACAAUGGGGGCAACCCUGAUCCAGCCAUGCCGCGUGUGUGAAGAAGGCCUUUUGGUUGUAAAGCACUUUAAGCAGUGAAGAAGACCAUACGGUUAAUACCCGUAUGCGAUGACAUUAGCUGCAGAAUAAGCACCGGCUAACUCUGUGCCAGCAGCCGCGGUAAUACAGAGGGUGCAAGCGUUAAUCGGAAUUACUGGGCGUAAAGCGAGCGUAGGUGGCUUGAUAAGUCAGAUGUGAAAUCCCCGGGCUUAACCUGGGAACUGCAUCUGAUACUGUUAAGCUAGAGUAGGUGAGAGGGAAGUAGAAUUCCAGGUGUAGCGGUGAAAUGCGUAGAGAUCUGGAGGAAUACCGAUGGCGAAGGCAGCUUCCUGGCAUCAUACUGACACUGAGGCUCGAAAGCGUGGGUAGCAAACAGG
rnacentral:rRNA from 1 species